AAGAGUUGAAAAAAAUAAAUAGGGAAAGGAGUAAAAUAUCAACAGUCCAAUAAAAUGGCUGGGAAAACAUUUAUCAAACACCAUUUUAAGCCCAUUUAUAGACUGACCAGCAGAAAUGCAAAGCUUACUAAUUACUUAUCAACUACUUAUUAUACAUUUCUUAGACACUUGUUUACCUUCGUGAAUGGGUAUCAAUAAAAGUACUUCCCAAUAUAAUCCUAUUACACACAAGGAGGAAAGAUUACUAAU
rnacentral:misc_RNA from 1 species